AACUAUUAAUAUAUAGAAGAGGAAAGAAGAGGCAAUAAAUAUCCCAAAGUAUCUGUUGUACAUUUGAAAUUUAAAAAUGGUAGGCUUAUUAAGGAUGAGAUACAGAGAAAAACAGUAAUGCAGAACUACAUUCUCUUAAAUUGUCAAAAUUAAACGCUACCAAUCUUGGUCUCGUUUCAAACUUGAAUAACGAAAAGUCUAAAAAUAUAAAAACUAUAAGAACAGAUCAGCUAAGUCCAGUUAUAAAAUUAAAUGAUGAAGGAAAGCUGUCAUUUUAGGAAAGUGUUGUUUUGGGGUGUGUAAACUCAUGAGGUUACAUGUUUCUGGUGAAUCUGUGCUUGCUGCAGCAAAAAUUUAUUAAUCGUUUGUGAUGUAAUUCACAAGAUGUCUAUUUUAACCUGUGGGUUGCCAAACUUCUUAAAUAUGGAAUUUGUUUUGUCUGACCAAGAUAUAAUGAAUACCACUAGUGACAUGAGUAUGUCCAAUUAAUAUUUAAUUAACUAGAAAUAAAUGCAUGCAGCAACCCCUAGCCUAUAUUUUCCAAACAUUGAUUUAACAUGAACUAUUAGCAAUUGGCCAGCACUGAACACAGGCUCGCGUUGUGUCAAGUGUUGUCAAGGCAACAUAAUGUCACAUUAUAUUUCAAAUUUUUUUGAGUAAUUUUGCAAGUGUUCAUACAACAGAAUCUACCAUACAUAAUUUUAAACAAAUAGAUAGGUGAAGUAAUUCAAACAAAAUGAUUUUGAACUUUAUUACUCUACUCUGACGAACGCCUAUUCUACUCGUAAAGGGGAGAGCCCUGGUGCUUAAUGGGUUAAAUAAGAUUGUAUAGUUAUAUGUAUAUCAUGUAUUAUGUUUUUAUGCAGUCUCCCUGAAUCACUUGUACCAGGCUAUGGAAAUUCAUGUUUCCAAUUUUGUAUUUAUUUUUCUUAUGAUACAGUAUACUGUAAAUUUGAAUAAUAUUUGUGUGCUUAUAGUGAGCUUAUUUUUAGGAGAGUUUGUUGCGAGGCAGCAUAUAUUUUGAUAUUUCAAAAUAUUACUGUAUAUUGGUAUGUUAUACUUAAUGCUUUUGGAAGGGUUAUAGGGGUCGGGUGUGAUAUACUUUUUCAGGUAUUUUGUGUCUGAUGUAUGUAAGAGCUUUAUUAUUGGGUUUCUUGGUGAGACCUUAUAUCUUAUGUGUCCUAUAACCCUCUGUAAUUGCGGAUUAUUGCAUACAUUCUAAUUGUAUUUUUUUGUAGGAGUCCAAAGAUGCAAAUGAUACAAUUUCAAACUUAUCACAACCCAUAUUGUGGCCGCUGGCAGCGAACUAGAAUACGACUAGAAACUGUCAAUCAUACGUUAUCGAGGGAAAGGAUGAAAGUUCCAUAACAAGCAACAGUUGUUUUGAUGCAAUUAUCGCCUUAUUGGCAAGUUUUUACAUCUUCAAUAUUGAGUACUGCCACACGAAGAGCAUCUUGUCUGCCUUGCAGACUAUAGUAGUGCAUGGGCAACACAGAAAAUGGCAUACAACUGCCAAUAGUGAGUUUAAGCAAGUGACGUUUUUGACAACACGGACGUCGACCGGAGGUAAAGUUGACGUUUUUCACCAAUCACAGUCCUUGACCCAGUCUUCUGACGUUGCUCAUGCCGUCAGUGUUGUCAAAAACGUCACUUGCUUAAGCUCACUAAUGAGGGUCACAGCCCUCUUCAAUGACUUGUCAUGACUCAUGAAUAUUAGUACUACAGUAAUUUUACACUUUUUGAGAGUUACGUUGACAUAUGCUAACCCAAGUUAAUGUUAUUGAUGGAAUGUGUGUAUUGUCUCACAUCUCACCGAACUGUGGUAAUGUAUUAGAAAUUAUUCGUAUUGCGUUCACGUUAACAACCGCGCCUGCUAUUGCUAUCACAAGUUGAUUGCUCUUUAAAAUUAGAAUUGUAAACUUUCAGAGCCAUAUGGCAUAUAUGUACGAAUCUUUUGAUGGUUCCCACAUUUCGGUGAGAUACAUAAUACUGACUACUGUGCAUGUAUAUUGUAAUUUUAGUUAUAGUAUUGUGCUUAUAAUACAGAAAUUGGAACAUUAUUUAUCUCAACUUAUAUUACAAUAAUUAAUUCCAAUCUUGGUCUGUUGGAGAAAUUGUAAUAAGACCAAAUAAACCCCAUUAUUUUUGCCUGAUUCAUUAUAUACAUGUAGAAUACGUCUACAUGCAAGAGUGCAACCAAAUCAUGCACAUGACUUUAAAUGCUAUAUAAAACGGCACCACCAAAAAGCUAUAUCAGCUCAAUCGGUUCUAAAGCACCUCUUCAUUGGGCUGAGACAGCUCUCCUCUGAAAGGGCCAGAACAGCUCCGGUUAACAAAGUAGGGGUUAAAUUGGCUUUUCUUUUGGAUCUAUAAUGGCUCUGAAAUUGGACCAAAUUGACCCUUUGGGUGCUACAAACUACACCAUGAAAAAAGCUAUAUUAGCUCCUUCGGCUCUAAAGCAGCUCUUCUUUGGGGCUGAAACUGUGCUCUUCUGGGAGGGCCAAAAUAGCUCUGGUUAAAAAAGUAGGGGUUAAAUUGGCCUUUCU
rnacentral:lncRNA from 1 species